rnacentral:ncRNA from 1 species
UCUGUGGUCCCGAUUUAUUGGGAUAAAAGGGAACGUAGUAGGAGCAACUUUUGCUUUAUUCUGCGGCUGUACCCGCAACUGUGAGCGGUUAGGCAUUCGCAAGAUUACCACUUAAGCUUAGCUUAGGGAAGGUGGCGAGAUGUCGUUAAGCUGUGAGCCAGGAGACCUACCACAGGA